rnacentral:rRNA from 1 species
UGGGGAAUAUUGCACAAUGGGCGAAAGCCUGAUGCAGCAACGCCGCGUGCGGGAUGACGGCCUUCGGGUUGUAAACCGCUUUCAGCAGGGACGAAGGUUUUCUGACGGUACCUGCAGAAGAAGCACCGGCUAACUACGUGCCAGCAGCCGCGGUGAUACGUAGGGUGCGAGCGUUGUCCGGAAUUAUUGGGCGUAAAGAGCUUGUAGGCGGUCCGUUGCGUCGGAAGUGAAAACUCAGGGCUUAACCCUGAGCCUGCUUUCGAUACGGGCGGACUUGAGGGAUGUAGGGGAGAACGGAAUUCCUGGUGGAGCGGUGGAAUGCGCAGAUAUCAGGAGGAACACCAGUGGCGAAGGCGGUUCUCUGGACAUUUCCUGACGCUGAGAAGCGAAAGCGUGGGGAGCAAACAGGCUUAGAUACCCUGGUAGUCCACGCCGUAAACGGUGGGCACUAGGUGUGGGACCCAUUCCACGGGUUCCGUGCCGUAGCUAACGCAUUAAGUGCCCCGCCUGGGGAGUACGGCCGCAA